GUGUAGGGUCUAGGGUUUUAACUUUAAAUUUUAUGAGAAAAAAAAUACAAGAGUGAGUCUUGUUCAAUCUCUCACACUAUCACCUCUUUAUAAAGCUUCAUCUUUUGAUCUGAAAGAGUUCAGAAGAUCUAAAGAAAAGAGCUUGGAUCAGCCAUCUAGAGCCUUCGAUGCAAGCUAGCACUCCCACGAAGGAAGAUCCGAUUAGGACUUUGAGUGGACGAUCUGUAGAGAUCGGAUGAUCUAUAUGAUUGUUCGA
rnacentral:lncRNA from 1 species